rnacentral:rRNA from 1 species
AGAGCGAACGCUGGCGGCAGGCCUAAUACAUGCAAGUCGAACGGACCCUUCGGGGUUAGUGGCGGACGGGUGAGUAACACGUGGGAACGUGCCCUUUGGUUCGGAACAACUCAGGGAAACUUGAGCUAAUACCGAAUGUGCCCUUCGGGGGAAAGAUUUAUCGCCAUUGGAGCGGCCCGCGUCUGAUUAGCUAGUUGGUGAGGUAAAGGCUCACCAAGGCUACGAUCAGUAGCUGGUCUGAGAGGAUGAUCAGCCACACUGGGACUGAGACACGGCCCAGACUCCUACGGGAGGCAGCAGUAGGGAAUCUUGCGCAAUGGGCGAAAGCCUGACGCAGCCAUGCCGCGUGAAUGAUGAAGGUCUUAGGAUUGUAAAAUUCUUUCAGCGGGGACGAUAAUGACGGUACCCGCAGAAGAAGCCCGGCUAACUUCGUGCCAGCAGCCGC